AAAAAGAUAAGCUAAUCAAGCUAUCAGGUUCAUACCCUGACUAUGAAAGUCCCUAUCUUUCUCUUUUUA
rnacentral:tRNA from 1 species